UAGCAAUGGUAAGGGUUCC
rnacentral:miRNA from 1 species